UCGCCACGGUAAUACCAGCUCCCCGAGUGGUCGGGACGGUUAUUUGGCCUAAAAGCAUCCGUAGCCGGCCCCUGUCCGUCUUCCGUUAAAUCUAACGGCCCAACCGUUAGGCUGCGGAAGAUACCACAGGGCUAGGGGGCGGGAGAGGUGGACGGUACUCCAAGGGUAGGGUAAAAUCCUCUGAUCCUUGGAAGACCACCGGUGGCGAAGGC
rnacentral:rRNA from 1 species